AGAGAAAAAGCGACACUCAGCUUCGGUUUUGGGGACAAUUCAAGUCUGCUGCUUUUAGAACGUUUAUUUUAUUUUAUAUCAAAUAAAAAACGGAAAUGUCUGUAAAUUAUGCGGCCGGUCUCUCGCCAUAUGCAGACAAGGGCGUGUGUGGACUUCCAGAGAAAUUUGAUAGCCCCGAAGAGCUGAAAGCAAAGGUGGCAACUCUUGCUAAGAUUGUAAAAGAGUCCAAAUAUAUGGUCGUGCACUCUGGAGCAGGAAUCAGCACUUCAACUGGCAUCCCUGACUUCAGGGGCCCAAAAGGUGUGUGGACGUUGGAGCAAAAGGGAGAGACGCCUCACUUUCAGACAACGUUUGAAGAGGCCCGACCCAGCCUUACUCACAUGGCCCUGCUGGGACUCCAGAGGGCCGGCUACCUCAAGUAUCUCAUUAGCCAAAAUGUGGACGGCUUGCAUAUGCGAUCCGGCUUCCCAAGGGACUUGUUAUCGGAGCUUCAUGGAAACAUGUUUGUGGAGGAGUGCGAGAAGUGCUGCAGGCAGUUUGUCAGGGAAAAGGUGAUUGGCGUGAUGGGCCUCAAACCAACGGGACGUUACUGCGAUGUGGUGCGCUCCAGAGGACUCCGAGCCUGCAGAGGGAAGUUGAUCAGCACUAUACUGGACUGGGAGGACGCCCUUCCUGACCGAGAUCUGAACAAAGCAGACGACGCAAGCAGACAAGCCGACCUGGCGCUGACGCUGGGCACCUCCAUGCAGAUAAAACCUAGCGGAGACCUUCCACUCCUCACCAAGCGCAAAGGCGGCAAAGUGGUUAUUGUCAACCUGCAGCCCACUAAGCACGACAAGCAUGCACACUUGCGUAUCAAUGGCUACGUGGAUGAUGUCAUGAAGCAGCUGAUGGAGCACCUGGGGUUGGAUAUCCCAAAGUGGGAAGGGCCGACCCUGUGCGAGAGCUCCAUCGCUGCGCCCGAGAGCGCCGACGACGACAUUAAGCCCGCGCACGCUCUCAGCGCCGACGUGAAGGUCAAAGGUGAGCUCGUUAAGGAGGAGAAGAAGCGAGCGGCACGUGGUGAUGCCACCAUCAAAGAGACUGUCACAGUAAAGAAGGAGAGGAAAGAUCCUCCGCUGGGGAUAAAAGAUGACCAAUAGCCUCAGAAGAGCAUUUCAUUUCUCCAUCUAGUACAGAAUUCACCGGCACGUGUCGCGACCAAAACCAGAAGGUAGGAGCAUAUUACAUCGUUUAAAAAAUCUCUGCGUUGGCUCCCUGUCCGUGUCUUUUAAUAUUGAUCUUAAGGUAAAUAUUAAAUAGGCUGUCACUAACAAGCGUCACUGUCCGUAUGAUGUUUUCUGGUGUCAGUCACUUGAUAAUUUUAUCGGACCAACACAUUUUCCGUCAUCUGUUCAGGAUGCAAGGAAUGAUGGUCUGUUAAUCACAUCAUCCUGCUGUGAUUGACAGUCUGUGACUCAGUGGCCAAUCAUUUUCAAAAAUUAUUCGAUCAGCCAUGACCUGCUCAUCUUGGUAAAGAAAAUCGACACGUUUUGCUUUGAUUGUACAAUGUAGGCUGCCUGAACAUUAAAAUGCAUGAGCGAUGGAUAAUAAGGUCUGCACAACCUUGUUCAAAUGAUAGGUCUUUAUUAUUAUAUGUAUAUAACAGCCACAUCCUCACUUAGAAGAAGGUGUGCACACUUUUGCAACUACAUCCUUUUAGAUGUUUAUUUUUUUACUUCCCCAGCAUUUUUUUCCCCCAACUGGUUGUACAAAUCCAAUGUCACAUUUAAUGGUUCAAAAUUGUGAAGUGAUUUAGCGUGGCUUUUUUAAAUUAAUUUUUUUAAACAUCACAAAAACCUUACAAUUGGCCUGGGGGGGUGUAUGUUCUUUUUAUUUCUAGAUUCAAUGGUGACUAGUUUUCUACGUGACCUCUUUUACAAGCGUGAAGAAAGAAGGAUGCAAUUUGGCAAGGGCAUGAUUGAAAAAGUUUUGGAUCGGGAUCAACACUCGGGGCAGAAGCUCUUUGAGUCCGGCCCGAUAUUCUCGGCGGAUGAGGCAGUAGAGGACCGGGUUGAGGCAGCUGUUUGCCUGGGCCAGGCAGACGCUCAGUGGGAAGGCAUAGGCCUGCGCGUUGUAGAAGGCUUUACUGAAGGGCACCAUGUCCAACUUGAUCAACACGCCCCAAAGCGUCAGAGCCUGGUUGGGCAGCCAGCAGACGAAGAAGGACAAAACUACGAUGGUGACGGAGCGGGUGACUUUGGAGCGGCGGCGAUGGCGACCACGCUCGCAUUCGGAUCUGUCUGCGACGGCCCCGCCGAUGGCACUGCCCACCACGCGCCGGCUCAGGAUGAACUUCAAGAGGAGGAGAGCCCAAGGAGUACUUGAGGAUCCAAGCGACUGGAAUCGGAUUCGGAGAACCUCACAAGGCAGAGCUCAUCGUCGGCAGACACCUGUGAACGCAACCAUUUGGUGGUCUAAAUCUCAAUUGUCACCCAAAAAAAAAAAACUGUACUGCUACAGCAUGUGAGUACUUGUCAACAAACCUGAACAGUGGUGGAGUAGAUGGAAUGAGGCAAGGUGGCAACCAGCGAAACCACCCAAAUAGCCAAACUGGCCCACUUGGCUCGAGCAGCCGCCCGCCUCGGGCUGGCGAUCUUCAGAGAGGUGACCAACGAGUGGUAGCGGGCCACGCUCAUGGCGGUGAGGAAGAACACGCUGGCGUACAUGUUCAUGGUGGUGACCGAGCUCACCACCUUACACAUGACCCAUCCGAAGGGCCAGCGGAAGUCCAGGACCGUGUCCAUGGCCCAGAAGGGCAAGGUGAGGACAAACUGGAGGUCGGUAAGCGCCAGGCUUAUCACGAAACAGUCGAUGGAGGAGUGGUGGUGACCUCGGCGACGGAAGUGAAGCAGGAAGAGUGCCAGGAGGUUCCCCACAAGACCCAGGACACAUACCACCAGGAACACCAGCACUAUAUGAAGAUCAGAUGCAGAUUAAACAGAUUGGAGCCUGCACACUUACCGCCGUGUUGGCAGCGUCUCCGUGCAGAUCCACUGAAGAUUCCUUGGAGAGGAUAUGGAGCCAGCAGUUGAGGGACAGGUUCAAAGCAGCCAGGUUGGACCCCGCUCCGCUGGGGUUGACCAAUUUGGAGAAUUCUCUCUCGUCCUCUUCUCCUCCACACGCGCUCAGCGCACCAACAGUGUCUCUCCUCCAGAGGCAUCAAUAGUCAUUGCUUGGCUUGUGAUCAAGCUGCUGCAACGCUGGCAGCUCCCCCAUGGGCGAAUGUUUCAAAAGCUGCUCGGCUACAUUACGGAGGGUCGACAAACUCCCGGAGAAUGAGAGAGGAUGAUGUGGAGGAGGGACCUCUUUCAAUUCCUCGACCGACUGCAAGGAGCGUGAUGGCACUAGGGAUAUAGACAUGGAAGGGAGUCUCUGGAUCUUUCUUUGCAGUUGGAGGUUGUGAGUGCUGCAUGCAGACAUCCUAGUGAACGGAAAGGCAGAUUCAAUGGAUUGGAUAAGAGCAGGUCUUUGACUGUGAGCGUCUGACUGGACGAGGUUGCGGAACUUUGAUUUGAUGUGAGGUAAUACGCCAUUCCCAGCUUUUCCUGGAGGCCUGGAAACGCAAAAGCAGUUGGAAGCUGCAUGCAUGGGAGGUGAGGCAUGUCCAAGCCUGGAAAUGAAGUGCAGGAAGGCAGUUGGAGGCUGUUCACCAAAAGGUCCUCCCACUUGUCGCUGUCCGGCGUACGGGGGGACCACGGCGGGGAGGUCGGAGUUGAGGAAGACUCGCUCCCCGCCAGAACCAAGUCCAAAAAGUCAUCUGUACCUUUUCCCUCCGGGCUCAGCUUCUACAGAGGGUGGUAUGUACAUAAUGUAUAAAUCCUAGCCUGCAGUCAUUUAUUGACUUUUUUCUGGUGUUCAUGUAAAAUCUGCUUCUAUGUGGACUUGAUGAGCCCUCUCGCUUCUAUAUCUGGCUUUCAUUCCUCGUGAAAGCUCCCAUGUUGUGUCUAAUCAGCGCGAGUCCACAAACUUUAAUUGGCAAUAUCGAAAGGACUUAUUAUCUGCGGAGAAAGCACCUGGAAGGCGGUUCAUUUACUUGUCGCACAGCCACAUAAGAGAAGACAAUUAAAGCACGAGAUAAUUCUUAUUGCAUUUAUUAGAAUUCUGUGGUCAGGGUAGCGCUGCAGUACUUACGUCAUACAUGGUGAUGGUCCAAGGAGGGUUGCCGUGGCAACUGCUGACUUCAUCUUUGGUCCUGAAUAGCAGGUCAAUUAGAUCCAUCCUAGCUUUUACCUUGAACGAGGACAAUUACUGCAAUUACUUCUUAGAAUCUCUUCGAACAAAUUAUUUGGUCAAAGAUAGUACAACAAGUAUCUGUAUUGUAUAUAGUGCAUAAAUUAUGUACAUUUGGGGAUCGGUGUGUCAAUAAAACAAAUAUAAUAAACCAAUUACGCCUUAGUUUUCAGACAGUUAAAAGCCAUUAUGUGCUUGUCAGAUCGGACAAUAUUACAAAAAUCAAAUCCUAUUCAUUUUCAAACAAAUGUUAUAUAUAUUUUUUUAAAUAUCAGCCAAUUUAUUGAAUAACGGCGUAAAAGUGUGGCGUAAAAACGGUAACAUGAGAAUUAAGCUAUAUUUAGCUAUACUAAAUGAAUACUGCUAAAUUACUACUCCAUGGACGCAUGACUAUAGGAGUUUAUAAAGUACAUGAAAUAUUAACCUAAGUUACUUUCUAUGCAAGUAUAGCUGAAAUAACCAUCAAUUGUCAGACUUUACCAGGCUCAGUGAAGAAUUUUUUUUUUUUUUUUUGCUGACAAAAUGAUCCUACGUGGAAAAGCUUCACUUUACUUUUUCACAAUAUAAGAAAUACAAAGGCUCAAUUAUCGUUUUGAGAUACAGCGCUAAACCCACUUGUCACCUAUGUACUUACUGUUUUCCACUGAAACCGGCUUAAAAUCGUUUAGGUUUCCUCAAGUGUGUGUCACCUUCGAAUUGUGGCCAGUGUUAAUAAUCCAACAAGUUGAUGAAAUAUCAGUAAAAGAAAGCAGAAUCAAAACACUCCGUCGGAUCAAUACACUCCUCUGCGUCUUGAGCAUGAGAAUAACGUCUAAGUAUGAUUCAGAGGACAAAGUUGAAGUUCCAUAUCACUCGUUCCCCAUCCCAGCUGAUCAGUAUCCAAUCCAGUGUUUUGUGGGCAGCUCGGUAAACCAAUCACAACAAAUCGGGCAGAAAUUCUCCUUGGGGUUUCACAUUCGUUGUUGCGUUUAUGUACAUUGAUAAUAAAAGAUAUGAGUGCAUUGGACAAGUCAUUGAUUGAUCAAGUAAAAAGUAAUAUUCACUUUGAAUUGAUUGACAGUACACCCUUAUUAUAUUUACUUUUUGGGCGGUUAGAGAACAACCACACGAGCAUGAGGAGAACAUGUAAACUCCACACAAAAAGGCCUGAGUCAAGAUCAGUUUCAUUUGUAAUUUAGCCUGUGGCUAACAUUAAAUGACAGAAAUUUGAGCACAUAUUUAGCCAGAAUACUUUGUGCUUCAACAUAAUGCCGUACACGGAAUAAAUAACACAAGACUUGGAAAGUUCAAUAACAACACCAAAACGUUUUGUUAAUUGUGGAAUCCAGCAAAGAUGUGUUUUCAGGGUCUUAACGUAGUUAGCUCGCUUUAAACAGUGAUAAUAAUGAAUUAACUCAACUAUGAGUGGAUUGCUGCCAAAAAUCAUCAUCAGGCAGUAUUUUAGCCACCCCUAAACAUUUGGAAAACUGAAAUGAUGAAAAAUCACGUGGUAAAAUUUCGCUUAGUCCGUUAGUUUUGUUUUCCGUGAUACUGUAUAUGUGUGUAUAGUACGGUAUAAUCUCUUAGUCAGAGGUAACACACCGUGUGGCUUUCCUUAUCUUUACUGCCAUAAUAAAGACCAUCUGUCUCCGUAUUUUAUUAAGGAUACACCCAAUUAAGACCUGAAUUACAUAAGAUGUUCAGGAACAUGCACGCUUGCAAAGAUGUAUUAUCAUCUUUCAAGCGUGACUAACAGAAUGACUAAGAAAUGUAUGCACAUGGAUUAUCAUUGCAGCAUGUUUCCUUGCUGAGCUUUAGUUGAAUGCAAUGUUGAAUAAAAAAUAUCAUUGAUAUUUACAAUGAUUA